rnacentral:rRNA from 1 species
UCCCCCCGUGAGUGUGAGGUCUUCGGAUCGUAAAGCUCUGUUGUUAGGGAAGAACAAAUGUGUAAGUAACUAUGCACAUCUUGACGGUACCUAACCAGAAAGCCACGGCUAACUACGUGCCAGCAGCCGCGGUAAUACGUAGGUGGCAAGCGUUAUCCGGAAUUAUUGGGCGUAAAGCGCGCGUAGGCGGUUUUUUAAGUCUGAUGUGAAAGCCCACGGCUCAACCGUGGAGGGUCAUUGGAAACUGGAAAACUUGAGUGCAGAAGAGGAAAGUGGAAUUCCAUGUGUAGCGGUGAAAUGCGCAGAGAUAUGGAGGAACACCAGUGGCUGCAGACGA